rnacentral:tRNA from 1 species
UCGGUGGUGGUUCAGCGGUAGAAUUCUUGCCUUUCAGGAAAGAGAUCCAGGUUCGAUUCCUGGCCAGUGCA